rnacentral:rRNA from 1 species
GAUGAACGCUGGCGGCGUGCUUAACACAUGCAAGUCGAACGGUGAAGCAGGAGCUUGCUCCUGUGGAUCAGUGGCGAACGGGUGAGUAACACGUGAGCAAUCUGCCCUGGACUCUGGGAUAAGCGUUGGAAACGACGUCUAAUACCGGAUACGAGGCGUGGGGGCAUCCCCAACGCCUGGAAAGAAUUUCGGUCCAGGAUGAGCUCGCGGCCUAUCAGGUAGUUGGUGAGGUAAUGGCUCACCAAGCCUACGACGGGUAGCCGGCCUGGGAGGGUGACCGGCCACACUGGGACUGAGACACGGCCCAGACUCCUACGGGAGGCAGCAGUGGGGAAUAUUGCACAAUGGGCGCAAGCCUGAUGCAGCAACGCCGCGUGAGGGACGACGGCCUUCGGGUUGUAAACCUCUUUUAGCAGGGAAGAAGCGAAAGUGACGGUACCUGCAGAAAAAGCACCGGCUAACUACGUGCCAGCCGCCGCCGUAACAC